rnacentral:rRNA from 1 species
CCUACGGGAGGCAGCAGUGAGGAAUAUUGGUCAAUGGGCGCGAGCCUGAACCAGCCAAGUAGCGUGAAGGAUGACUGCCCUACGGGUUGUAAACUUCUUUUAUAAAGGAAUAAAGUGAGGCACGUGUGCCUUUUUGUAUGUACUUUAUGAAUAAGGAUCGGCUAACUCCGUGCCAGCAGCCGCGGUAAGACGGAGGAGCCGAGCGUUAUCCGGAUUUAUUGGGUUUAAGGGGAGCGUAGAUGGGUUGUUAAGUCAGUUGUGAAAGUUUGCGGCUCAACCGUAAAAUUGCAAUUGAUACUGGCAGCCUUGAGUACAGGUGAGGUAGGCGGAAUUCGUGGUGUAGCAGUGAAAUGCUUAGAUAUCACGAAGAACUCUGAUUGCGAAGGCAGCUUACUAAACUGCCACUGACAUUGAUGCUCGAAAGUGAGGGUAUCAAACAGGAUUAGAUACCCCUGUAGUC